rnacentral:rRNA from 1 species
AGUGAACGCUGGCGGUAGGCCUAACACAUGCAAGUCGAACGGCAGCACAGUAAGAGCUUGCUCUUACGGGUGGCGAGUGGCGGACGGGUGAGGAAUACAUCGGAAUCUACUUUUUCGUGGGGGAUAACGUAGGGAAACUUACGCUAAUACCGCAUACGACCUACGGGUGAAAGCAGGGGAUCUUCGGACCUUGCGCGAUUGAAUGAGCCGAUGUCGGAGUAGCUAGUUGGCGGGGUAAAGGCCCACCAAGGCGACGAUCCGUAGCGAGUCUGAGAGGAUGAGCAGCCACACGAGAACGGAGACACGGUCCAGACUCCUACGGGAGGCAGCAGUGGGGAAUAUUGGACCAUGGGCGCAAGCCUGAUCCAGCCAUACCGCGUGAGUGAAGAAGGCCGUCGGGGUGUAAAGCCCUUUUGGUGGGAAAGAAAAGCAGCAGGUUAAUACCCCGCUGUUCUGACGGUACCCAAAGAAUAAGCACCGGCUAACUGCG